GCCUAGCUCAACGGUAGAGCAACUGACUUGUAAUCAGUAGGUUGGGGGUCCUCCCGGCA
rnacentral:tRNA from 1 species